rnacentral:rRNA from 2 species
GUCAAAACGACUCUCGGCAACGGAUAUCUCGGCUCUCGCAUCGAUGAAGAACGUAGCGAAAUGCGAUACUUGGUGUGAAUUGCAGAAUCCCGUGAACCAUCGAGUCUUUGAACGCAAGUUGCGCCCGAAGCCAUUCGGCCAAGGGCACGUCUGCCUGGGCGUC